rnacentral:lncRNA from 1 species
GUUUCUGAUCAGUGCUUCAUCAGCUGGUCCCGAGAUGUAUGAAAUUCACACCAAUUCCAAGGAGGAAUGAAAUAACUGGAUGAGGUGAAUCCAACAGGCAGUAGAAAGUUGCCCAGAAGAAGAAGGGGGAAGAACAAGUGAAUCCGAUGAAGAGAAGUGGAAAGCUGAAGCCAGAGUGGCCAGAACUCAGCAAUGUCAAGAAAUACUCAGUAAUCAAGACCAGCAAAUUUGCACAUAUUUGGAGGAAAAGCUGCAUAUCUAUGCUGAACUGGGGGAGCUGAGUGGCCUUGAGGAUGUCCAUCUAGAACCUCACCUCCUCAUUAAGCCUGAUCCAGGAGAGCCUCCUCAGGCAGCUUCUUUACUGGCAGAAGCACAGAAAGAAGGAAGGUUGUAUUGUAAAGGAUUUGUUUUGACAAAUGAAAAAAAUGUUUAUUGAGUACCUACUAUAUGUUGUGUACCAUCCUCUUGGUGCUAGGAUAU